rnacentral:lncRNA from 1 species
UAAUCACUCUCCCUGAGAGAAGACAUAGUACGUACUGAUCUUAACGGACUGUCAACGCCCAAUUAGCAAUCCUAUGAUCAGGAACGUUUAGGAUGUGUCUACGAAAGAAUGGUCUCAUGAAUCUAGCUUCAUUAGAUUACAUUCUCCCAAUCACAUAUUCCUUGGACUUUAUCGUUUAAGCAUAUAACAUUUAUAUGAGACGGCUCAAACAAUAAUCUUUGCCCUUUAUAUGUAAAACUAGAUUAGUUUAACAUGUGAAAUGUUCGUAAAGUAUCAUCACAUGAUUGGCUUUAGGGCACAUUUCCAACAGAGUCAACACAACACAUACUAACCUUAGCGGAUUGUCAAUGCCCAAUUGGCAAUCCUAUGGCUAGGAACGUUUUAGGAAUGAACAUAAGAGAAAGGUCUCGAUAAUCUAACUCAUUUAGAUCACUUAUCUUUUAGAACAAAUACAUUCCUUGGAUUCCCUUAUUGCUUAAACACAUGAUACAAUAAAUAGUGAUUAACAAUAAGAUUUGCCCUCCAUUAAACAUAUAAAAGUUUAAUACAAUAAGUAUUCCAAAAAGCUAUUACAUCAAAUGAGUGGCUUUGUGGGCAUACUUCCAACAGACCAAUCACUCUCCCUGAGAGAAGACAUAACACGUAUUGAUCUUAACAGACUGUCAAUGCCCAAUUGGCAAUCCUAUGAUCAGGAACGUUUAGGAUAUGUA